UUUCUCUUUUUUUUAAUAUGUAAUUUUGUUAUAUAAGCCUUAUUAUUAUUAUUGUUAUCAGGACAGAGUCUUGCUCUAUUGCUUAGGCUGGAGUGCAGUGGUAAAAUCUCAGCUCACUACAACCUCUGCCUCCCUGGUCGAGUGAUCCUUGCCCCUCAGUCAUGUGAGUAGCUGGGAUUACAGGCAUGCACCACUACACCUGACUAAUUUUUGUAUUUUUAGUAGAGAUAGAGUUUUGUCAUGCUGGCCAGGCUGGUCUCAAACUCUUGGCUUCAAGUGAUCCACCUGCCUUGGCCUCCCAGAGUGCUUACGGGAAUGAUUACAGGAGUGAGCCACCAUGCCCAGCCAAGCCCAUUUAAUUUUUAAUGAGAGCUGGACAUUGUAUAUGUAUAUGGCAGUUUAAUGUGAUCUGAGGCUUAAAGAUAUCUUUCUCUAACGACUUUUCCUUUUGACCAGAAUGUUAGGCCACUAACAAUCUAGAAUCACUUUAAUCCAAUGAAGAAAUGAGCUGAUUUAAAACUUGGUUUUCAUUCCUGCCAGAGUUAGUCUAUUUCCUGUUAACCCUUUCACCCUUUCUAAUAGCAUAGAUCCCUUUUUAGGUUUAUAUGGUCCCAAUCUGAAGUGUGAGGGUUCCCUAUGCCCUUCGUCUUUAGUGUUCUGAACUCCAAUUUAUGUCUCCUUAGCCCAGGGAGUCUGUUAAGAUCUCUGCCCAGCUUCUCAUCCUGUCAACCAUCUCUUCUGGAAUUGGCCUUAGUUUCUAGAGAAACAUCUCAAAAUAUCUGGGGUUUUUUUUCCUCCUGGAUUUUGACUCCAGAAUUCCUCAGUGCCUUGUUCUCUAAUGCUUUAAACAGAAAUUUUUCCUAUUUCCUACCUUUCUAGUUUUCAGUGGGAGGGUUAAUCUAAUUACCUCAACAACCAUUACUUAAAGUAGAAUUCCCAAGUGAUUGGCCCACAUUAAAACUAACUUUGUAUUUAGUUGUAUUUAUACAGCCAACUAACUAUUGGCCCUCUAACUUUCAACAUUAGAAAGUUAAUUGAUACAAUAAACCACAUUUUCAUAUUAAAGCAAAAACACAUACAAUGGUCUCAACAGCUGCAAUCAUUACUUAAAGUAGAAUUCCCAAGUUCUGUAUUCCCAAGUUCUGCUUCUUAGUGUACAGCAGCUAAUUUUCUUCUUGACAGAUAGUUGAAAGCAAUUCCUGUAGCUGUGGCCACCUUUCUUUACUUUCCUUUUCCCUUUCCCAUUCCUUUCCCUUUCCUUUCCUUUUGACACCCAGACUGGAGUGCAGUGGCGCCAUCUUGGCUCACUGCAACCUUUGCCUCCUGGGUUCAAGCAAUUUUGUACCUCAGUCUCCCAAGUAGCUGGGAUUGCAGGUGCCCACCACCACACGUGGGUGAUUUGUUUAUUUUUAGUAGAGAUGGGGUUUCACCAUCUUGGCCAGACUGGUCUUGAACUCCGGACCUUGUGAUCUACCCACCUCAGCCUCCCAAAGUGCUGGGAUUACAGUACCGGCGUGAGCCACCUCACCUGGCCUGUGGCCAUCUUUUCUAAGAUUUCUAAUGGAUUUUAAAAAAAUAUUUAAGUGUUUUUAUUUCAUUUCAAUUUUUAUUUCACAGAUACUGUUUGAUUUCUCUCUGAUAAUUUUUAACAUAUCCAAAAUCAUUCCUGAGCUGUUAAAUAAAACCGUUUUUUUCAUUGGGUUUUAUUCUUGUUUUUUUUGUUGGCUUUGUUUCUUAGUGUUUUUAUUUCUUCAUGUGUGGGGCAUUUUUGACAUGGUCAUUUUGAGUAGUAAUUUUAGAGUUCUAUUUUCUCUCCUUUCCCUCUUCCAUGUUCCCCUCUCCAUCUAAUAGAUUUCCUGUUGCCUCUACCUGUUCUUUCUACCUACCACUUAGGGAAGAAUCAGGUAUAAAAACAGUGGGCUCCUGUAAUCCCAGCACUUUGGGAGGCCAAGGUGGGUGGAUCACGAGGUCAAGAGAUCGAGACCAUCCUGGUCAACAUGGUCAAACCCCGUCUCUACUAAGAAUACAAAAAAUUAGCUGGGCACGGUGGCUUGUGCCUGUAAUCCCAGCUACUCGGGAGGCUGAGGCAGGAGAAUUGCCUGAACCCAGGAGGCGGAGGUUGCGGUGAGUCGAGAUCGCGCCAUUGUACUCCAGCUUGGAUAACAAGAGCAAAACUCCGCCUUAAAAAAACAAAAAACAAACAAAAAAAAAACAACAGUGGGCUAGCCUGGGCAUCGUGGCUCACACCUGCAAUCUUAGCUCUUUGGGCGGACCAGGCAGGAGAAUUGCUUGAGCCCAGUAGUUGGAGACCAGCCUUUCAAGAUGUAGUGAGAACCCCAUCUCUACAAAAAAAAGAGGCGGGGGGGAGCCAGGAAUGGUGGCACGUGCCUGUAGUCCCCGCUCUUGGGAAGCUGAGGUAAGAGGGAUCACUUGGGCUAUUGCCUGCCUGAGUCACGUGCCGGGUGUGGUGGUGGGGGGAAGCUGGAAGGCGUAGUUCUCCUUUCCCAGCCCCGCUGCCCGUCCGCCAUGUUUUCAGGCCGAGUCUGGCUUGGUGUUCCCUCGUAAGGAAAUGGCCGGGGAGCUCCAGGGGACCCAGGCGCCGUCACUUCGGCGGAGCCUGGGCUGACCAGCCCGGACAGCGGGGUAAACCUGAUCUGCGCGAGGUGUUUGUACUGCUAUUUAUUUUUGUGAAGAGGCAAAUCAUGAACUUUGCAAUGAAAUCUCAAAGGGGACCUCAUGUCCCUGUGGGGGACAGUGCCCCCAAGGAUGGGGUUGAGAUAAUCAGUAAGGCAGAGAGCAAUGAGAAGAGUUACCUUUACAUGACUUUAGACUUACAAGAGUCCCACAAAUCAUCUAAUUCCACCAUUCAUGUUACCAACAAGUCCAAGAAAAGGAAGCAGUUUACCAGAAGACAUAGAGGUUGCUACAACCAUUUUUGUAGGAUGAAAGCUCUGCAUGCCAUUGGUGCCUCUGAGAUCCCAUUUCAUUCUGAAGGCAGGCAUCCCUGUUCCUUAAUGGGCAAGAAUUUCCGCUCCUACCUGCUAGAUCUGCGAAACACUAGUACCCCUUUCGAGGGUGUACGCAAAGCCCUCAUUGAUACCCUGUUGUAUGGCUAUGAAACAGCCCUCUGUGGGACAGGGGGUCAAAGCACGAAUUGGGAGCUCUCAGCGACAACACCAGUCAGCAGCCAAAGACCUAACUCAGUCCCCCGAAGUCUCCCCAACAACCAUCCAAGUGACAUACCUCCCCUUCAGUCAGAAGAGUAAACGUGCCAAGCACUUCCUUGAAUUGAAGAGCUUUAAGGACAACUAUAACACAUUGGAGAGUACUCUGUGAUGGAGCUGAAGGACCUUUGCCGUAGGUUAAGCCAGUCAGUUGCAAUGUGCAAGACAGACUGCUUGCCAGGCUGCCCUCGGGACAUCUGACUCAGCAGCCCCAGACUGUAUCCAUUGAAGUUCCUGUUGUAUCCAGAGUUCUUAGAACUUCUGCCGGAAGGGUAAUUCCCUAACCCUUCCUUAUGGGCAUUUUUAGAAGAUUGGCUAAGACUAUUUUGCCCCAAUAGCACUUUUUUCUGCAUUUACAUUCAGGUGUUAUUCUUUUUUUUUGAGACGGAGUUUUGCUGUUGUUACCCAGACUGGAGUGCAGUGGCACGAUCUCGGCUCACCGCAACCUCUGCCUCCUAGGUUCAAGCAAUUCUCCUGCCUCAGCCUCCCAAGUAGCUGGGACUACAGGCUGCGCCACCAUGCCCAGCUAAGUUUUGUAUUUUUUGAAGAGCUGGGGUUUCACCUUGUUGACCAGGAUGGUCUUGAUCUCUUGACCUCGUGAUCCACCCGCCUCAGCCUCCCGAAGUGCUGGGAUUAUAGGCGUGAGCCACCGUGCCCUGCCUUCAGGUGUUAUUCUUAAUGUUUCUGUCAAAGCUUCUUAAAAAUCUUCACUUGGUUUCAGCAAUAGUUCACCUGCCUUGUUCCAGGUUUAUUUAAUUCCAAAGGUGAGAGUUGGAGUGAGAUGUCUUCCAUAUCUAUACCUUUGUGUACAGUUGAAUGGAAACUGUUUGGGUUUAGGGCAUCUCAGAGUUGAUUGAUGGAAAAGACAGACAGUAACUGGUGGGAGGGUCAAGUGGGGAGGUUGGUGGUGUGUGGAACGACUUACCCUUGUGCUCCACUUAAACCAGAUGUGUUACAGCUUUCCUGACAUGCAAGGAUCUAUCUACUUUCAUUCCACACUCACGAAUAAAUUGAAUCAAAGGGAAUGUUCUGGCACCUGACAUAAUUUGCCAGGCUAUAAGACAAUAGGAAGGAAUGAUUUCCCCUAACAAGCCAAUGCACUGGUCUGACUUUAUAAAUUAUUUAAUAAAAUGAACUAUUAUAAAAU